rnacentral:rRNA from 1 species
ACCCGAAAUAAAAAGAUCUAAAAACGUUAUAAGGAAUCGUUGUUAAAAUUAAAUAUGUGGCAUAAUAUAAUUGUAAUAACUUUUUAGGGGAGAAAUUCCAACAGUUUUUAUGAUAGCUGGAUUAAGGGGAAAAGUAUUAAGUACUAAAAACAAUUAUAAAGUGAUAAGAUUUUAUAAUUAAAAUAAGAUGUUUUUAAUAGUUGUAGGGUUAAUCCCCUGAAAGCUUGUUAUCUAAUAACAUUUAAUAAAUAUAUCUUUUUAUUUUCUUAUCCUUAUACUUAGAUCAAUCAGAUGUGCUUAGUUUAUAAUGUUUAAAUUAGUAUUUGAUAUUUAUAAUUUUUAUUAAGGAACUCGGCAAAUAUUAUAUUCGACUGUUUAUCAAAAACAUAGUCCGUUGUUAUUUAUAAUGGAUAUUGACUGCCCGGUGAUUUUUAUUUAACGGCCGCAGUACCUUGACUGUGCGAAGGUAGCAUAAUAAUUUGGCCUUUAAAUGGGGUCUAGGAUGAAAGGACUUACGAAUAGUAGCUGUCUCAAACUUUAAUUAAAGAAAACUUAUUUUAAAGGUGCAAAUACCUUUGUAUUUAUAUAAUAGACGAGAAGACCCUUAGAAUUUAAUUUAAAAUAAAGAUAUAUCUUUAUUUCGAUUUUGUUGGGGCAACAAAGCAGCAGCUAUUUAAUCUGCUUCUCCAUUGUAAAAAUAUGCCGACUAUUAGUAAAAGGAUAUAAAUUACCUUAGGGAUAACAGCAUAAUUUAGUAAAGAUUGUGACCUCGAUGUUGGAUUAGGGCCAUAAUAAUUUAACCAAUUAUUUUGUUAGUUCUGUUCGAACUGUAUAACCUACAUGAUCUGAGUUCA